AUUGAACGCUGGCGGCAUGCUUUACACAUGCAAGUCGAACGGCAGCGCGGGCUUCGUCCUGGCGGCGCGUGGCGAACGGGUGAGUAAUGCAUCUGAAUGUGCCCCGUAUUGGUGGAUAGUCCGGCGAAAGCCGGAUUAAUACUGCCUACGACCUGCGGGUGAAACCGGGGGACCGAAAGGCCUCGCCCUCUUGGCGCGGCCGAUGUCGGAUUAGCUAGUUGGUGGGGUAAAGGCUUACUAAGGCGACGAUCCGUAGCUGGUCUGAGAGGACGACAAGCCACACUGGGACUGAGACACGGCCAAGACUCCUACGGGAGGCAGCAGUGGGGAAUUUUGGACAAUGGGGGCAAGCCUGAUCCAGCCAUGCCGAGUGCGGGAAGAAGGCCUUCGGGUUGUAAACCGCUUUUGUGCGGGAAGAAAUGCUCUGGGCUAAUACCCCGGGGGGAUGACGGUACCGGAAGAAGAAGCACCGGCUAACUACGUG
rnacentral:rRNA from 1 species